GACAAAGCUUUAUUUUUCACAUGGCUAGAAUAGAGGCAGCUUCAUUUGUCCAUGAGAAGCUUCUUAACUCUGGAUAUCUUAAUCCAGGCUCAGUGAAGAAGACUGUGUUGUAUGCUUUAAGUCAAGGACCUAGUAAUAACUGUAAGGCACAAUAAAACAAAAUGAGCAUCUCACAAACUUUACAGACAGACAAAAUAAUCCUGAGUGCAGCCAAGUUAUGUGACCGCUGCAGGAGCCAGACUGCAAAGUGGAAAAUCCCAUCAGAGCCAAGUGAGGAGGAAGCCAACUAAGACUGGCUACUUUCCACCACCAAAUGUCAGUCUCUCUCUGGCAGGUGAAAAAUCCAAGACUACAAGUUUACACUGCAAGAUCAUCCCACUGUGCAUUUUCUGCUCUGCUGGUACCCAGUGCUCCCCCACCUCCCCUGGGUUUAGCUUCACAAAAAAAGCUUCACCCCACUUCCCAUCUUG